UCUCUCUCUCACCCUCUCCUUUUUCGAUUUUAAUUUUUUUCGAAAUUUAGGGAUUUUCUGGUAUUUCAAACCUUAGGUUUGAAAAAAUUGUUGUUGUUAAACCUAAGUCUCUUAUGCCUUAUAGAGCGCAAUUUUAGGGAUCUUCUGUCGAAAUUUAGGGAUUUUAUGUCAAAAUUUAGGGAUUUAGGGACAUAAACCUAAGUCUUUUAUGUCGAAAUUUAGGGACUUUCUGCUAUUUCAAACCCUAGAUUUGAAAAAUGUGAUGGUAAUUAUGAGAGUACGAUAACAACAACAGCAACGGUUUGUUCAACUAAAUGCAUAAUGUUUAAUCAAAAUAAUAUUGUUGUUUUACAUCUGAAUUACCAUUUUGAUUUUCAUGGCAUGUGAAAACAGAGAGGCAAAAGAAGUUUGUGCAUGUGCAUUCAUCCAAAUUUUCAGUAUCUCACUGUCAGCUUGGCUUCUACCAUCAUAUUAUGUAAAAUAUGUUUUCAGCUUUGCAACUGUCAUAAAAGAGUGUUCACUGAUAAGAUAUUAUGAACUCGCUAUGCUAGUUGACGUGCGAGCCUCCUAAUUAUUAACAUUUUGAGUAUCGAAACUAUUGAUAGCUGCAAACAUUUCCAAUUUUUCUUGUUCCUUGGUGGAGUUCUUGAUUAUGUGUCGUGCAUUGUUAUAGCGCUUUGACUGGAACUAAUUGACGCAAUCAAGUUCAGGCCAUAAUAUGCUGUCAAUAAGUUUGUACCCCUCAAAACAUGAAUUUUAAAUAGGACAUUGAUACAGCACUUCGUUGAUCUAUUCAAGCAAAUAUGAUAUCAUAAAUAUAGGAAAUUCGAUCCAACUCUUUAAUCGACUCGAAGAAAUUUUAGUUGAAAACAGGAAUUAAAAAAAUUAAUUAGCCAGCAAAAUUAUGUGGCAGAGAACUUGUCACCUAGAAGUCUUGAGACUGGAUAAUGCUCCGGAAACUUGAGAUCUGUUACGCAAUUCACUGCAUUUAACAUGGAGGUCCUGGUCAGAAGUUCCAUGUGGACAGAAUGUUUGCUGAAUUUAGGAUAAAGUGUGCAUGGUCACAUGAUUGUGAGGCAGAGGUACGAACCGUUUUCUUUAAGAAAUGUUCUGAUAGGUUGUCUGAUAUGCUUCGGACUGCUCGAGAAAAUAAUGUGAGGCCAACUCGAUCGGAUUCUUGAUUAUUUAUGGGUUAAACUUCUUGAAUAUUGGAAAUCUCCGGAAUUUGAGAAGAAGAGCCGCCAGUGAAGGGCAGCCCGUAUGUUCGACAAGGGUGGCUCUAUGCACACUGGGGGUUCAACUAGUAUGGCGACUCAUCGAAAAAGAUUGAAAAAGGCUAAAGGAAGACCAGUAACUCAUGAUGAGGUGUUUGAGGAGACCCACAUGAAGAAGUUGAAGGAUGGAACAAAAACAACUUGGGCCGAGAUGCGCGCUGAGACAACCCAUGAUGGUGAGCCUAUAUGAUGCCUUAAAGUUGUGAUUGGAGC